ACGAACGCUGGCGGCAGGCCUAACACAUGCAAGUCGAGCGGACCUUUCGGGGUCAGCGGCGGACGGGUGAGUAACGCGUGGGAAUAUGCCCUUCUCUACGGAAUAGUCCUGGGAAACUGGGGGUAAUACCGUAUACGCCCUUUGGGGGAAAGAUUUAUCGGGGAAGGAUUAGCCCGCGUUGGAUUAGGUAGUUGGUGGGGUAAUGGCCUACCAAGCCGACGAUCCAUAGCUGGUUUGAGAGGAUGAUCAGCCACACUGGGACUGAGACACGGCCCAGACUCCUACGGGAGGCAGCAGUGGGGAAUCUUAGACAAUGGGGGCAACCCUGAUCUAGCCAUGCCGCGUGAGUGAUGAAGGCCUUAGGGUUGUAAAGCUCUUUCAGCUGGGAAGAUAAUGACGGUACCAGCAGAAGAAGCCCAGGCUAACUCCGUG
rnacentral:rRNA from 1 species